rnacentral:rRNA from 1 species
UACGGAGGGUGCGAGCGUUGUCCGGAAUCACUGGGCGUAAAGGGCGCGUAGGCGGCCUGAUAAGUAGGGGGUGAAAUCCUGCGGCUUAACCGCAGGGCUGCCUUCUAAACUGUCAGGCUGGAGCACAGUAGAGGCAGGUGGAAUUCCCGGUGUAGCGGUGGAAUGCGUAGAGAUCGGGAAGAACAUCAGUGGCGAAGGCGGCCUGCUGAGCUGUUGCUGACGCUGAGGCGCGACAGCGUGGGGAGCAAACAGG